GCAAGUCGAGCGAAUGGAUUAGAGAGCUUGCUCUUAUGAAGUUAGCGGCGGACGGGUGAGUAACACGUGGGUAACCUGCCCAUAAGACUGGGAUAACUCCGGGAAACCGGGGCUAAUACCGGAUAAUAUUUUGAACUGCAUGGUUCGAAAUUGAAAGGCGGCUUCGGCUGUCACUUAUGGAUGGACCCGCGUCGCAUUAGCUAGUUGGUGAGGUAACGGCUCACCAAGGCAACGAUGCGUAGCCGACCUGAGAGGGUGAUCGGCCACACUGGGACUGAGACACGGCCCAGACUCCUACGGGAGGCAGCAGUAGGGAAUCUUCCGCAAUGGACGAAAGUCUGACGGAGCAACGCCGCGUGAGUGAUGAAGGCUUUCGGGUCGUAAAACUCUGUUGUUAGGGAAGAACAAGUGCUAGUUGAAUAAGCUGGCACCUUGACGGUACCUAACCAGAAAGCCACGGCUAACUACGUGCCAGCAGCCGNGG
rnacentral:rRNA from 1 species